GUGUCUGUGGAUCCCACUCAGCGCUAGUCUAUUCUGUAGGCUGGCUGCUGGUUGAUUUGGCCUUGACAGCUUCUGGCUGUCUCUGCUUAAGUUCUACAACACGUACGGCAUAGAUCUAGAAAAGUCACGUCCUGUCGGAAGAAAGGCAUUGACAUUCUCAUCUAUCUCUGGUAGCUUGUCUAUUGAGUUAAACUGAGUUUGUUAGUAGCCGUUCCUCAAACACUCGAGUCUUUCUCUGUAUCUAGCUUGCAGCUCGUCUGCU
rnacentral:misc_RNA from 1 species